AUUGAACGCUGGCGGCAGGCCUAACACAUGCAAGUCGAACGAGUGGCGGACGGGUGAGUAAUGUCUGGGAAACUGCCCGAUGGAGGGGGAUAACUACUGGAAACGGUAGCUAAUACCGCAUACCAUCGGAUGUGCCCAGAUGGGAUUAGCUAGUAGGUGGGGUAAUGGCUCACCUAGGCGACGAUCCCUAGCUGGUCUGAGAGGAUUACCAGCAACACUGGAACUGAGGCACGGUCCGGGUUCCAACGAUAGGGAGCAGGGGGAAAGAUUGCACAAUGGGCGCAGGCCUGAUGCAGCCAUGCCGCGUAUAUGAAGGAGGCCUUCGGGUUGUAAAGUACUGUCAGCGGGGAAGCGUUACCCGCAGAAGAAGCACCGGCUAACUCCGUGCCAGCAGCCGCGGUAAUAC
rnacentral:rRNA from 1 species